rnacentral:misc_RNA from 1 species
AACAAGGCGUACCUGCGGACCUGCGGAGGGAUCAUUACCAGAGUGCCUUCAGGCUCUCCAACCCACUGUGAACAUACCUACGUUCCCCCGGCGGGCCCAGCGCGCGGCGGCUCCGGCCGCCCGCGUCCGCCGAGGGCAUCUCAAACCCGAAUUUAUUCGUGUCUUCUGAGGGGCGAAAGCCCGUAAAACAAAAUGAAUCAAAACUUUUAGCAAUGGAUCU